rnacentral:rRNA from 1 species
UGCGGCGCUUGAAUGGAUUAACGAGAUUCCGCCUGUCCCUCUCUCGUUUGUAGCGAACCCACAGGCAAGGGAACGGACUUGGCCAAACCGGCAGGGGAAAGAACGUCCCUGUUGACGCUUGACUCUAGUCUGGCUUCGGUACGAGGAAUACAAUGUGUAGAAUAGGUGGGAGAUUGCGGCCGUGAUAACACACCAGCAUGCCGAUAUGUUUUCUCGACCGUCACUUGCACACGAUGGCAGCGCUUCGCCCACUGCCGUUUGCAAGUUCGUUUCUUGCUCCCCUCCGUCGUGAAGGCUUCAGUCAGGUGGGGAGUUCGCUCUGGGAGCGCCUCCAUGCUGCUAAUGCGAUCACCUACAUGCGUUCUUUCCGUCGGCUUGGAGCGGCGAACCUGGAGCGGAUCAAUCAGACGCUCGGCGUGUAUUCACUCCAUCUAUCUUCCACCUCCAAAGCUAGCCCCCUAAUCAUCGACUGCAACUCGAGAUACCUUACUGCUCGUAUCGGUCUCCGCAUUCUGAGCGUUUGUGAGGAAACCGCGCGAUCAUCGUAGUCCAUGACCGGACUACCGG